rnacentral:rRNA from 1 species
UACGAAAGGUGCAAGCGUUACUCGGAAUCACUGGGCGUAAAUCGCGCGUAGGCGGUCUUGUAUGUCGAUUGUGAAAGCCCCGGGCUCAACCUGGGAACAGCAGUCGAAACUGCAAGACUUGAAUGUUGGAGAGGGUGGGGGAAUACCUAGUGGAGAAGUGAAAUUCGUAGAGAUUAGGUGGAACACCAGAGGCGAAGGCGCCUGCCUGGCCAAACAUUGACGCUGAGGCGCGAAAGCGUGGGGAGCAAACAGGAUUAGAUACCCUGGUAGUCCACGCCGUAAACGAUGGACACUCGGCGUUCGGAGAGUUAACCCUCUGAGUGCCAAAGUUCACACAUUAAGUGUCCCGCCUGGGAAGUACGGUCGCAAGACUAAA